ACCCAUGGUCUUGUUUGUCCUGCAGGUUAGUGAGCAGCAUCAGGAGGAGGAGCUCAAGCACGACCACCAAGAGGCACCACCGCAGCAGCAGAUGAGUCCGUCGAUGAAGCGGCAACGUCUCCUCUAGAGGGUGACGGUGGUGGCGGCGCCUGUGUGCGGCUUCGACUACAACCUCCUCUCUGGAGCUCCAGGCCUAAGAAAGUUGGAAGUGCGAAGACAUGAAGAAAAGCGCGAAGCCAUGAAGUGCUACUCAGCAAAGAGUUGUCUGUUCUAUUUGACUGUAAUAUUGUAAUAGCUGGUAUACCUAGGUUGUAAUAGUCUACAGAAAUUAUAGUGCACUAAUAUAGUGUCAUUUGACGAGUUUCACAUGUUCUCUUGUUUGGAAUAUUUGAUUAUGAAUGUGAUUUGUUUG